rfam:Ictidomys tridecemlineatus contig095416, whole genome shotgun sequence.
GGGGUUGUGGCUCAGUGGUAGAGUGCUUGUCUAACAUGCAUGAGGUACUGGUUUCAAUCCUCAGUACCU